ACAAACUUGGUCAUUUAGAGGAAGUAAAAGUCGUAACAAGGUUUCCGUAGGUGAACCUGCGGAAGGAUCAUUACUGAGAAAGGGUUCUUCUUCGGAAGGCCCGACCUCCAACCCUCUGCCUAUAUGAGUCUCCAUACUUAUAAAUGGUCACACGCUGCGUCGGCGGGACCGGGGUGAGUGUAAAAGCUCUCUCGACCGCCGGCGGUGCGUGGAACAAACUCUUUUUUGAACCAGCCUUCUGAACACAAAGCUUCAAAUGAAUUAAAACUUUCAACAACGGAUCUCUUGGUUCUGGCAUCGAUGAAGAACGCAGC
rnacentral:misc_RNA from 1 species